rnacentral:rRNA from 1 species
AUUGAACGCUGGCGGCAGGCUUAACACAUGCAAGUCGAGCGCGCGGCGGACGGGUGUGUAAUGUCUGGGAAACUGCCUGAUGGAGGGGGAUAAAUACUGGAAACGGUAGCUAAUAUCGCAAACCCUGCGAUGUGGCUAGAUGGGAGGAGCUAGUAGGUGGGGUAAUGGCACAUAUAGGCGACGAUCCCUAGCUGGUCUGAGAGGAAGACCAUCCACACUGGAACUGAGACACGGUCCAGACUCCUACGGGAGGCAGCAGUGGGGAAUAUUGCACAAUGGGCGCAAGCCUGAUGCAGCCAUGCCGCGUGUGUGAAGAAGGCCUUCGGGUUGUAAAGCACUUUCAGCGAGGAGGCGUUACUCGCAGAAGAAGCACCGGCUAACUCCGUGCCAGCAGCCGCGGUAAUAC